rnacentral:rRNA from 1 species
UACGUAGGGUCCGAGCGUUGUCCGGAAUUAUUGGGCGUAAAGGGCUCGUAGGCGGUUUGUCGCGUCGGGAGUGAAAACUCAGGGCUCAACCCUGAGCGUGCUUCCGAUACGGGCAGACUAGAGGUAUGCAGGGGAGAACGGAAUUCCUGGUGUAGCGGUGGAAUGCGCAGAUAUCAGGAGGAACACCGGUGGCGAAGGCGGUUCUCUGGGCAUUACCUGACGCUGAGGAG